rnacentral:rRNA from 1 species
GACGUAGGGCGCGAGCGUUGUCCGGAUUUAUUGGGCGUAAAGAGCUCGUAGGCGGCUUGUUGCGUCAGCUGUGAAAACCCGCAGCUCAACUGUGGGCUUGCAGCUGAUACGGGCAGGCUUGAGUUCGGUAGGGGAGACUGGAAUUCCUGGUGUAGCGGUGAAAUGCGUAGAUAUCGGGAGGAACACCAGUGGCGAAGGCGACUACCUGGCCUGUUCUUGACGCUGAGGCGCGAAAGCUAGGGGAGCAAACGGG